rnacentral:rRNA from 1 species
UACAGAGGGGGCGAGCGUUAUUCGGAAUUAUUGGGCGUAAAGGGCGCGUAGGCGGCUGGCUCAGUCGGGCCUGUAAGUGCGGGGCUCAACCCCGUGAUGGGCUCGGGACGGGUCGGCUGGGGCGCGGUCGAGGGAGACGGAAUGCCGGGUGUAGUGGUGAAAUGCGCAGAUAUCAGGAGGAACACCGAUGGCGAAGGCAGGUCUCUGGGCAUUAACUGACGCUGAGGAGCGAAAGCAUGGGGAGCGAACAGG